AAUGAACGCUGGCGGCAGGCCUAACACAUGCAAGUCGAACGGAUCCUUCGGGAUUAGUGGCGGACGGGUGCGUAACGCGUGGGAGCAUACCCAAAGGUACGGAAUAGCCUCGGGAAACUGGGAGUAAUACCGUAUGUGCUCGAAAGAGGAAAGAUUUAUCGCCUUUGUAUUGGCCCGCGUUGGAUUAGGUAGUUGGUGGGGUAAUGGCCUCCCAAGCCGAAGAUCCAUAGCUCGUUUGAGAGGAUGAUCAGCCACACUGGGAAUGAGACACGGACCAGACUCCUACGGGAGGCAGCAGUGGGGAAUCUUAGACAAUGGGGGAAACCCUGAUCUAGCCAUGCCGCGUGAUGGAUGAAGGCCUUAGGGUUGUAAAGAUAUUUCAGGUGGGAAGAUAAUGACUGUACCACCAGAAGAAGCCCCGGCUAACUCCGUGCCAGCCGCCGCAGUAA
rnacentral:rRNA from 1 species